rnacentral:lncRNA from 10 species
CUUUCAUCAGCAAGUCUCCGAACUGGGUGGCAAAUGCUCAGCCCUUUAAAAGCUGGCCAGACGGAGCAUUCAAUCUAGUCCCCAUGUGGACUGCUUUCACUCUUCCCCUGCGUCCACACCUUUUCUAGAAUCUUCUAUACUGCUUUUUGCCAUCCCCUGUCCUGCUCUCUGGACUCAAGUACAUCUCCAUGUCAUCCCUCUGCUCUGUGCAGAGGGCAGGGCAAGGACUUUUAUCUGCAUACUACAGAAGGAAACCAAGGACUGUAGGGGUAUCCUUGUCCGUGGCGGCAGCUGAGGGUGGUGCAGCUCUUCCUGGUCUCCGUGCACAUGGCUCAUGCAUACCUUCCUCCUCCUGCAGGAGACAUUAUCGUGGCCAAUGUCCAGCCGACCAGAUAUGGGGUGAUCAAUUGUUUGAAGGUGAAAGGUGUGCUGCAUGUCACAAAAGCACUGUGAAAGAGGAAAAGAACUGCACCCACAUGACACGUGUGUGGAGGAGCCGGGAGCUGUGCUGGCCAUUGUGGGAUCACUCCAUCCUGUAAGUUGGUUGUGUUGCAUCCGCUGGUCCUCUGUCCCUUCUCUGGUUUACAGAGAAUGGUAGCGUCUGAGAAUCCUCUUCUAAAGGGCUUAACUCCCUGCCAGGAGUCACUGGAAAUAAAUGCAACACCUCUUCCCACACUGGUCUGCUCUCCACUGGGACAAAUCUCUUGUCUUGCCCACUGCUUCCACACUCUGUGAACAAAUGCUAGGAGCAGCUAAGAACAUUCAUUCAUUCCUUGCACCUAACAACCCAAUCCACC